rnacentral:lncRNA from 10 species
CGACCAAGAGGUGUGGAGGCCGGAAGAGACUGACCGCGCCGGCCCUUGGAGAGACCCCUUUCCUGAGAGGGGGCGCACAGAGAGGAUGCCGAAGCCAGCGAGAUCUAGAGAGAGGGAGACAGGGAUUGAAUCACAGAGACACUUAGAGGGAGGGAGAGACCUCAAAGACAGAGAGAUUCACAGGGCCAGAGAGACACGUAGAGUGGGUCAGAGAAGAGGACAGAGGACAGAGACAUAGAAAAGACAGGAGGGAGAGAGACUGAAUCACAGAGACACAGGGAGAGAGGGAGAGACCUCAGAGAUGGAGAGAGACUCACAGGGCCAGAUAGACACAUGGAGUGGGUCAGAGAAGGGGACAGAGAGAGAGACACAGAAAAGGGAAGAGGGAGAGAGACUGAAUCACAGAGACACAGAGAGGGAAGUCUCUAUCUAGAGACCCUCGACAGAGAUUCCUAGAGCCAGAGACAGAGAUUCAGAGAGCCAGAGACACAGAGAGAUUCAUAGAGACAUAUAGAGAGAUUCAGAGAGCCUGAAUCACAGAGAUUCACAGAGCCAACGAGACAAACAGAGAGAUUCAUAGAGCCAGAGACACAGAUUCGGAGAGUCAGAGAGACAUAGAAAGAGAUUCAUAGAGCCAGAGACACAGAGAUUCAUAGAGACAUAGAGAUUCAUAGAGCCAGAGACACAGAGAUUCAGAGAGUCAGAGAGACAUAGAAAGACAUUCAUAGAGCCAGAGACACAGAGAGAUUCAGAGUCAGAGAAACAUAGAGAUUCAUAGAGCCAGA